rnacentral:rRNA from 1 species
GUGGGGAAUAUUGCACAAUGGGCGAAAGCCUGAUGCAGCAACGCCGCGUGAGCGAUGAAGGCUUUCGGGUCGUAAAGCUCUGUCCUAAGGGAAGAUAAUGACGGUACCUUAGGAGGAAGCCCCGGCUAACUACGUGCCAGCAGCCGCGGUAAUACGUAGGGGGCAAGCGUUAUCCGGAAUCAUUGGGCGUAAAGGGUGCGUAGGCGGCCCUAUAGGUCAGAGGUCAAAGGCUACGGCUCAACCGUAGUAAGCCUUUGAAACUGUAGGGCUUGAGUGCAGGAGAGGAGAGUGGAAUUCCUAGUGUAGCGGUGAAAUGCGUAGAUAUUAGGAGGAACACCAGUGGCGAAGGCGACUCUCUGGACUGCAACUGACGCUGAGGCACGAAAGCGUGGGGAGCGAACAGGAUUAGAAACCCCGGUAGUCC